UCCUGGGAUGCGUGUUGCUCGGCCAGAAGUUUUCAAGAAUCCUCACCAAUCCCUGUUAUGGCCAGAUGAGAUUUUGUUGCCUGGUCACAAAUAUUUGAUGAUUCCAACCAGUACUGCUCGGAAAUUGAAACAUAGACAAAUUAGGAAGUCAAGAGUCACAGGUAAUGCUGAAGGUAAAGAUGAGAUGUCAGAUGUAAAUAUUACUUGGGAAGCAGGACAGGAUAUUUCAGAUGAAUCUGUUUCUUCUGCCAAGGAAUUCUAUACCUCCAAGGUAAGAUUGUCAAGAGACUCGAAACGUCCUAUGAGAAGG
rnacentral:lncRNA from 1 species